GGUUAAGUGAAUAAGGGCGCACGGUGGAUGCCUUGGCACUAGGAGCCGAUGAAGGACGGGACUAACACCGAUAUGCUUUGGGGAGCUGUAAGUAAGCUAUGAUCCAGAGAUUUCCGAAUGGGGGAACCCAAUAUCUUUUAUAGGAUAUUACUUUUCAGUGAAUACAUAGCUGAUUAGAGGUAGACGCAGAGAACUGAAACAUCUUAGUACCUGCAGGAAGAGAAAGAAAAAUCGAUUCCCUGAGUAGCGGCGAGCGAAACGGGAAGAGCCCAAACCAACAAGCUUGCUUGUUGGGGUUGUAGGACUCCAAUAUGGUAGUCUGUUAGUAUAGUUGAAGGAUUUGGAAAAUUCCGCUAAAGAGGGUGAAAGCCCCGUAGACGAAAUGCUAACAACACCUAGGAGGAUCCUGAGUACGGCGGAACACGAGAAAUUCCGUCGGAAUCCGCGGGGACCAUCCCGCAAGGCUAAAUACUCCCUAGUGACCGAUAGUGAACCAGUACCGUGAGGGAAAGGUGAAAAGCACCCCGGAAGGGGAGUGAAAUAGAUCCUGAAACCGUGUGCCUACAACAAGUCAAAGCUCGUUAAUGAGUGAUGGCGUGCCUUUUGUAGAAUGAACCGGCGAGUUACGAUUGCAUGCGAGGUUAAGUCGAAGAGACGGAGCCGCAGCGAAAGCGAGUCUGAAUAGGGCGAAUGAGUAUGUAGUCGUAGACCCGAAACCAUGUGAUCUACCCAUGUCCAGGUUGAAGGUGCGGUAAAACGCACUGGAGGACCGAACCCACGUACGUUGAAAAGUGCGGGGAUGAGGUGUGGGUAGCGGAGAAAUUCCAAACGAACUUGGAGAUAGCUGGUUCUCUCCGAAAUAGCUUUAGGGCUAGCCUCGGAAUUGAGAAUGAUGGAGGUAGAGCACUGUUUGGACUAGGGGCCCAUCUCGGGUUACCGAAUUCAGAUAAACUCCGAAUGCCAUUCAUUUAUAUCCGGGAGUCAGACUGCGAGUGAUAAGAUCCGUAGUCGAAAGGGAAACAGCCCAGACCACCAGCUAAGGUCCCAAAAUAUAUGUUAAGUGGAAAAGGAUGUGGGGUUGCACAGACAACUAGG
rnacentral:rRNA from 1 species